UCUUGCAAACUAAAGAUGGCGACCGGCGCACGGGUGAGUAACACGUAUCCAACCUGCCGAUAACUCGGGGAUAGCCUUUCGAAAGAAAGAUUAAUAUCCGAUGGUAUAUUAAAACCGCAUGGUUUUACUAUUAAAGAAUUUCGGUUAUCGAUGGGGAUGCGUUCCAUUAGUUUGUUGGCGGGGUAACGGCCCACCAAGACUACGAUGGAUAGGGGUUCUGAGAGGAAGGUCCCCCACAUUGGAACUGAGACACGGUCCAA
rnacentral:rRNA from 1 species